rnacentral:rRNA from 1 species
AGGACGAACGCUGGCGGCGUGCUUAACACAUGCAAGUCGAACGGAAAGGCCCUUCGGGGUACUCGAGUGGCGAACGGGUGAGUAACACGUGGGUGAUCUGCCCUGCACUUUGGGAUAAGCCUGGGAAACUGGGUCUAAUACCGAAUAUACCCUGCUGGUCGCAUGGCCUGGUGGGGGAAAGCUUUUGCGGUGUGGGAUGGGCCCGCGGCCUAUCAGCUUGUUGGUGGGGUGAUGGCCUACCAAGGCGACGACGGGUAGCCGGCCUGAGAGGGUGUCCGGCCACACUGGGACUGAGAUACGGCCCAGACUCCUACGGGAGGCAGCAGUGGGGAAUAUUGCACAAUGGGCGCAAGCCUGAUGCAGCGACGCCGCGUGAGGGACGACGGCCUUCGGGUUGUAAACCUCUUUCAGUAGGGACGAAGCGCGAGUGACGGUACCUACAGAAGAACGGACCGGCCAACUACGCGCCAGCAGGCCGC